GACGAACACUGGCGGCGUGCUUAACACAUGCAAGUCGAACGAUGAAGCCGGAGCUUGCUCUGGUGAAUUAGUGGCGAACGGGUGAGUAACACGUGAGUAACCUGCCCUUGACUCUGGGAUAACUGCUAGAAAUGGUAGCUAAUACCGGAUACGACCCUCGGAGGCAUCUUCAGGGGGUGGAAAGAAUUUCGGUCAAGGAUGGACUCGCGGCCUAUCAGCUAGUUGGUGAGGUAAUGGCUCACCAAGGCGACGACGGGUAGCCGGCCUGAGAGGGUGACCGGCCACACUGGGACUGAGACACGGCCCAGACUCCUACGGGAGGCAGCAGUGGGGAAUAUUGCACAAUGGGCGCAAGCCUGAUGCAGCAACGCCGCGUGAGGGAUGACGGCCUUCGGGUUGUAAACCUCUUUUAGUAGGGAAGAAACGAAAGUGACGGUACCUGCAGAAAAAGCACCGGCUAACUACGUGCCAGCCGCCGCAGUAA
rnacentral:rRNA from 1 species